GACGAACGCUGGCGGCGUGCCUAAUACAUGCAAGUCGAACGCAGUGGGGACGGGUGAGUAACACGUGGGUAACCUCCCAUCAGAGGGGAUAACACUUGGAAACAGGUGCUAAACCGAUACUGAUGGAUGGACCCGCGGUGCAUUAGCUAGUUGGUGAGGUAACGGCUCACCAAGGCCACGAUGCAUAGCCGACUGUGGAGGUUGAUCGGCCAAACUGGGACGGAGACACGGCCCAGACUCCUACGGGAGGCAGGAGUGGGGAAUCUUGGGCAAUGGACGAAAGCCGGACCGAGCAACGCCGCGUGAGUGAAGAAGGGUUUCGGGUCGUAAAAUUCUUUCGUUGGAGAAGCGGUAUCUAACCAGAAAGCCACGGCUAACUACGUGCCAGCAGCCGCGGUAAUUC
rnacentral:rRNA from 1 species